rnacentral:rRNA from 1 species
GCGGCAGGCCUAACACAUGCAAGUCGGGCGGUAACACGGGGAGCUUGCUCCCGGGUGACGAGCGGCGGACGGGUGAGUAAUGUCUGGGAAACUGCCUGAUGGAGGGGGAUAACUACUGGAAACGGUAGCUAAUACCGCAUAACGUCGCAAGACCAAAGAGGGGGACCUUCGGGCCUCUUGCCAUCAGAUGUGCCCAGAUGGGAUUAGCUAGUAGGUGGGGUAACGGCUCACCUAGGCGACGAUCCCUAGCUGGUCUGAGAGGAUGACCAGCCACACUGGAACUGAGACACGGUCCAGACUCCUACGGGAGGCAGCAGUGGGGAAUAUUGCACAAUGGGCGCAAGCCUGAUGCAGCCAUGCCGCGUGUAUGAAGAAGGCCUUCGGGUUGUAAAGUACUUUCAGCGGGGAGGAAGGUGUUGUGGUUAAUAACCACAGCAAUUGACGUUACCCGCAGAAGAAGCACCGGCUAACUCCGUGCCAGCA